GACGUAGGGUGCGAGCGUUGUCCGGAUUUAUUGGGCGUAAAGAGCUCGUAGGCGGCUCGUCGCGUCGACCGUGAAAACCCGCGGCUUAACUGCGGGCUUGCGGUUGAUACGGGCGGGCUAGAGUUCGGUAGGGGAGACUGGAAUUCCUGGGUGUAGCGGUGAAAUGCGUAGAUAUCGGGAGGAACACCAGUGGCGAAGGCGGGCAUCUGGGCCAACACUGACGCUGAGGCGCGAAAGCUAGGGGAGCAAACAGG
rnacentral:rRNA from 1 species